CAUUGUAUUGUAUUUUUCUAGUCGAAUUCUUUAGAAUAAGCAUUGCAUUUGUACUACUGAUUGUGUCAUUUGUAUUUUUUCGUGUGGAUUAGGACUCUCUUAGUUAUUUAUUUGUGUGGAUUUUCAUCUCUGCAUUUCUUUGUUUGAUUCCUUGAAUCUUUAAUUGUAGUUGUGUGCUGUGUUAGUUUUUGAUGGUUUGCAGAUGCCAUAAAAAGUAAUAAAAGAGUGCUUUAUUUUGUCAGUCGAACAAGAUUGUUAAAUGCUCUGUUUCUGUAGGGAAAUCAACCAAAACAGUGUUAUCUAAUUAGGGUGCCCUGCUGUUAGGUCUACUUCUAGGGUUUUGUAACAGGCUUCCUCUAAUUGGAUCGUGUCCAGUUUUGUGGGGACUUAUUUGUACUCAUGCUUUUCUUCCUAAUAAACAUGAAUUAGCAAGUCGCCAUGAGGUCUAUCUCUGUCAAACAACCAGAAAAAGACAAUAAUAUCUGUCAACUAACAGGUACCUGGACACCCAAAACAAUCCUAAUGUGUGGAUUAGUGUGCUUUGUUAUUUCAUCAUGAUUGCAGAUGCCAUAAAAAGUAAUAAAAGAUGGCUUUAUUUUGCCAGUUGAACAAGAUUGUCAAAUGCUUUGUUUGUGUAGGGAAAUCAACCAAAAACAAUGUUAUCUUAAUUAGGAUGCCCUGUUGUUAGGUCUACUUCUAGGGCUUUGUCAUAGGCUUCCUCUAAUUGUAUCAUGUGCAGUUUUGUGGGGACUUAUUUGUACACAUGCUUUUCUUCUCAAUAAACAAGAAUUAGCAAGCCACCAUGUGGUCGAUCUCUGUCAAACAACCAAGAAAAGACAAUAAUAUCUGUGAACUAACAGAAGGUCCCUUGACACCCAAAAGAGCCAUAAUGUGUCAUCGUCAUAUGGAUGCUUCCAUAUUCUCUAUAAUAAGUUUAGAAAAGAAAGUAGAAGUGCCUUCCACCAAGCAGGUUCUACAAUCUACUCUUGUCAACCACAGGCUAUUUUCUAGCUCGAUAGUCAGUACAGACAUUCAUUUCCUUUCUAAUUGACAAACUAGGUUUAGAAAAACAAGUACAUGGCAGGCUCUGCAAUCUAGUCUUGCCAACCACAGGGCCAUAUUUAGAAUGCCUCUCUAAUUUAUGGAUUUAGUAAACUUAUUAAUUUUAAUGACAAACUAGGCUUAGAAAACCACAGGGCCAUUUUUAGAAUGCCUCUUUAAUUUAUGAAAUUAGUAAACUGAUUAAUUUUUGUGACAGACCAGGCUUAGAAAAACAAGUAGAUGCGCCUUCCACCAGAAAGGUUUUGCAAUCUAGUCUUGACAACCACGGGGCCACUUUCCAUCUCAAUAGUCAGUAUAAUACUAUAAAGCAUUCUUUUUCUUUUUAAUUUAUGGAUCUAGUAAAAUGGUUAAUUUUCAUGACAAACUAGACUUAGAAAAAUAAGUAGAUGUGCCUUCCACCAAGCAGGCUAUGCAAUCUUCUCUUGUCAACCACAUGCCAUUUUGCAGCUCAAUAGUCAGUACAGGCAUUCUUUUCUUUGUAAUUUAUGGAUUUAGUGAACUGGUUAAUUUUUAUGAAAAUCUAUGCUUAUAAUACAAGUGUAGAUGUGUCUUCCACCAACUAAGCUUUGCAAUUUACUAUUGUCAACCACAGGCCAUUUUGCAGCUCAAUAGUUAGUACAAGCAUUCUUUUCCUUUGUAAUUUAUGGAUUUAGUUAAUUAGUUAAUUUUUAUGACAAACCAGGUUUUAAAAAACAAGAAGAUGUGUCUUCCACCAAGUAGGCUCUGCAUUCUACUGUUGUCAACCACAAGCCAUUUUGUAACUCAAUACUCCUCCAUCCUGAUGUGAAGCAGAGGCUGUACCGAAUAUGAGAAUCCAGUGGGAAUUCUACUGUUACAAGAACCACCUACCACAUACACACCAGUACAGAAGCUCUCCAUCCCAGUAAACUAUAAUGAAUGCUAUUCAUUAUUCUCUGCAUUGGAUCUGAGUUUCAGUUCUAAUACAGAGAAUGCAGUUAUGCCAUGAGGAUGAUUAGAAUUAAUAUUGAAUAAAAUUACGGAUCAGUACUUCUCCAACGUGUAUGGUGGAGGCCUAGAAAAAUACAGAUGCAAUUUUCAGUCUCCAUACAAGCUCUUUCUUGGAAAUGCUAAAGAGAUGAUGAAGAUGAUGCAGAAGGCUAGUUCUAAUCCUAUGCGAUAGUUUUCUCAUUCUAUCAUCAGUGGACCAAAAUCUAUGGGAGCACAUUCUUGCUUUGGUUUGGACCUGUUGCAGGAACAAAUAUUGCAGAUCCCCAGCUGGUGCAAGAGAUACUCUCUGUGAGAUCUGAUGAUUAUGAGAAAAUCGAGGCCAAUAAUGCUCUCAAGAAAUUGGAAGGUGAAGAGUUACUGGACUUGAAAGGCGAGAAAUGAGCUCAACAUAGAAGAAUCAUCAGUCCUGCUUUUCACAUGGAAAAUAUCAAAAAGGUUUAUUUCUUUUAACAUGGGUUGGAGGAGUUAUGCUUUUCAACAAUGAGCUAUAAAUUUGAUUGCUAAGGUACGUCCAAUAAUUCAAACUUCUUAUUUUGGAGAAUUUAAUGUUUUUGCUAACCAAUAGACAAGGGCUCAAGACUGCUAGAUUAGUACUCUAUUUCCUUUAGGUCAUUCAAACUUUAGCUCCCUACUGUCUCAGAGAUGGCUAGUAAAUGAGCAUUGUGCAACUUUCUUUUGGAUUGGAAGAAAUAAUACAAAAAAGAAGUCAAAGAAUGCUAUAAUUUUAAAGAUGUCAAUAGCUGGUUUAAUUGGAAAUGGUUGUGUAGUGAUAAAAAUUUGAAGAACUUGUAAAUAUUACCUAACAAUUAUAAUUAAUAAAAAGUUUUUCAUUUUAA